UUAAACGCCGCUAUUUACCAGCGUUUUACAUUAAACGCGGCUAUUUACCAGUCUUUAACGGCGUUUACAUUGUGAAACGCCACAAAAUAGUUUUACAAAGUUUGUAACAGUCAUUAUAUUUAGUGGCGCUUGUUUUAGUAGACACCACUAGUAGAUAACCUUUAGUGGCGUUGCUGUAGGAAAGCGCAUAUACAACCUUUAGUGACGUUUGAAGUUGCAAACGCCAUUAAGUGCCCCUAAAUUCCAACUAGCCCCUCCUUUCUGUUUACCAGAAACAUUCGGUCAAAAGUAUUUUCUCAUAAACAAUUCUUCCUCCAUCGAGCCCAUUUUCUCCGUUCGAUCUCCUUCUUCGUCUGUGAGUAUUCCGUUCAGUUUCCUUUUCUAGUGGUGGCUCUUCCGUUAGGUUUCCUUCUCCACUGGUUACUUUUCCGUUGGGUUUUCUUGUUUGGUGGUCUUAUUUCUCGUUAGGUUUCCUUUCUCAGCCGAUGGGUUCAAGCUCAGUCUCUGCUGUUUCUCCGUCGAUUUCCUUAUUCGGUAAGACCUUUCCUUGUUCUUUUUCGGUUUUAGGGUUUUAAUGUAAAUUGAGGUUUUUAAAUUUUUGUUGGUUAAAAUGAUUAUGGAUUUAAUUUUUGUUCAUGCAUUCUAUUGAUUUUGGUGGUUUGUAUCAAUUAUUAAAGUGUGCAUCAAAUUUUCUCUACUUUUCAUUGAAACACUGUUUAACGGGAGUGAAGGAUAAAACAAAACAAAAGGUAACAUGAAAAUUGUGCGAUUCAAUAGUUGUUUGGUAGAUCAUAGUGAAAUUGGGAGGAAGGGAAAGAAUCUGGGUUAAGUAAUUAUUGACUUGGGUUUUAAGUUAAUGCAAUUUUAUGAUUUGGAUUAUUUAAUUACAAAUUCUUUUAAAUUUUUUUUUCAUGCCGUUUUCUUGCAGUAGUCCAUCCUUGUCAUAUUAACAUUUGUCUAUUACCCAGGUCAGACUUGUUAGUAGCCUUCCCAAAUCCUGAUUAAUAUAAAACUAGUAUUAAAAGAAUGUUCAUAAGGACAGUUGAUGGCUAAUACUUGGUCAUUUCCUUUUUGGUACAUGAUUUUUUUUCUCCAAGUGUGAAAGUCUUUAGAUGUUAGAGGAUUUUAACAAGGUUACGUAUUAAUUUCAAGUUAUAUAUUCAAAUUAAAUCUGACAUGGAAGCCAUAAUUAACUAGUUUUAUUGCUCAAUAUCCCAGUUGUGUUUGAAUAUUGAAGUUUUUUGUGAGUUAUUUCUAGUAACAUUGUUUGUUAACAAGAAAACAAAAAAUGGCACUGUCCAUCAACAAUGGAACAUGUACCAUGGUGUUCUUGGACUUUGUGAAUUAUUUGUUAGAUUCUGGUGUUCAGUGGGGAUCAGCACCUUCAAUAAAAGUAAAGAAUUUGUGAUUUCAUGAUUGGUUAUCAAUUUUUUCCCUUUCAGUUAGCUUAGCAAGCAUUAAUAACAUGAAUUACUCGUAUCUUCGAGGUGUGAGAGAUGCAGCUAUUGAGUUAUUACAUUCUUUGGUAACUUUACAUGCUGAGGUACUUACCACCAUAUUAUGUGUGGCCAUAUGAACUUAAUUUUUUUUCAUUCUAAGUUUUUGUGAAUUUCACUAUUGUUUGUGGGUUUUAUCUGCAUAAGUGAUCAUUUUGAUUUUGUUUUUUUUUACGAUCUGUCAGAAAGCUCUUUAGUAUUUGAAUUUUGAAGCAUCAUCUCUAUUGACCUGUUUAAGUAAACUAUUUUGGUAGUGAACUCAAUAAUUUUUCUACUUAAGUGACUAAUUCCGCAUCUAGGUCUUUGUUGGUGCUAAGCGCCUCAGGACAAAACACUUGGCAUUCUUGUGGAAGGUCUGAUUGGUACUUUUAUUAGCCUUUUACUAUUGUCCACUAACAUGAUGGGAAGUGAAACUUUUCUAGUAACUAAUAUCUUUGCUUUGUGAUUUUUACAUUCUGUGUUAGAACUUGGAACACAUUGUUAUGGUUUUUAAGCACUAGAUUCUGUUCUUCUCAUGGAUCACUAUGUACUCCUUUUAGGUGCAUGCAUAUAUUUCAUUAGAUUCAUUCUACUUAUAAUAGUAUCUAAGUUAAUGCUCUUUUGGGCUCUGCCUUAUAAUGGCUACUUGCAUCAUGGAAAGUGGUUUACAUUGACAUUAAAUAUGUAUAAAUGUUGCAGAGUUGUUAAGCCAGCUGAAGGAGUCUUUGUCUCAGUGAAAAAACCUCCUCCAAUGAAAACAUGGAAGGUUUUAUUCUGAAUUGUUAUAUGAAACCAAUUUUGGUUUUGGUAGAUGAAUUUAAUUCAGAAUAAGGUUAAUGAGAAGUUAUUCCCAUGCAAGCUAUCCAGCAAUAAUACCUAGUUAAUCGAGGAAGCUGUAGAGUUGGCUGUCAAAACUUGGGGCAAGCAAUCUUUAAGUGAGCUAACAGCUGAAGAGCGCCUGUCUUAUUCUUGUGAAAAGGUGUACUAUAGACUCAAGAAUUUCCUGCACGUAUAUAUGACUUGUUCACUUUUGAAUCUCCUUGUUCCUGUUAAGAAUUAUUGAAUCCUUUGAUAAAUUACCAAAUAGCAUGUAUCAGAUGCACUACCAAACAGUAAUUAUUUUACUUUUUUAUUUACACUGACCUACACAGGAUGAAAUUAGAGGCAAGCUGCGAAGUGCGUUUUUAGAAAUUGUAAAGGAAUAUAAGGUCUACACUGAAGAAGAGAGGAACAGGUUGUGGCAGCUGGUGGCCUUUAUGUGGUAGGGACAGAACAUCAUGAGUCAAGAGAAAUAGACAAUCAGGUUAAUUUGAAAUACAUUUAUAAAAUUUAAACUGGCCCAGGUUAAUUUAUACAAUAAGUUCAUGAUAAUUCUAUAAAAAAUAGAAUUAUCACAAGCCCAAUAGCUAAAAAAUAAGGUUCCUUGGAUGUUUACUUGUGUCAGCAUAUGUAAUCUAAUCAUAUUACUAGUUUAAUAUACAUACAUACAUACAUACAUGAUCUUGUUAAAGGAAUUCAAUAUUUUUUGUUUUUUUAUAGUAGGACUCUAGCUUUAGAUAGAUUCCUUUGUUAUUGAAUCAUAGGUACUUUUUAAGCUCAUGCAUUUUGAUUAUUAGGCUGUUAUGUUUACGUUUGAUGCUAAUGUGUUGCAGUUAUGAACCAUAAGAACUUUAUUGUGAUAAUUAUCCAAAUUUUACUUUUUUUUGCAUCAAUUUUCAAUGUACUUUCAGAUUUUCUUAAUGAAAUUUUAAGUUUCUUACAUUUUGCAUUCAAUUUCGAUUGAACUCAUGUGUUCUUCAAAUUUGUUUUGAAAUUCGCGGUUUUGACUUCUUUGUGGUUUUUUGAUCAGUUCUUGAUGAAUUUUAGCUUGUUUUGAGCCAAAUUUUUUGUUAGUUUCCUAACUAAUAGAUCUUUGAUUCUGGAAAAAACUAACUUCA